AGUGAACGCUGGCGGCGUGCUUAACACAUGCAAGUCGAACGAGAACGGAUUAUAGCUCGCUAUAGUUGUCAGCUAAGCGGCGCACGGGUGAGUAAUGUAUAGGUAAUAUGCCUCUUACUAAGGGAUAACAAAUGGAAACGUUUGCUAAUACCUUAUACUCCUUAUUAACAGAAGUUAAUAAGGGAAAGAUUUAUUGGUAAGAGAUUAGCCUGUAUUGUAUCAGUUAGUUGGUGGGGUAAUGGCUUACCAAGACUAUGACACAUAACUGGUUUGAGAGGAUGAUCAGUCACACUGGAACUGAGACACGGUCCAGACUCCUACGGGAGGCAGCAGUGGGGAAUAUUGCACAAUGGACGAAAGUCUGAUGCAGCAACGCCGCGUGGAGGAUGACACAUUUCGGUGCGUAAACUCCUUUUAUAUGAGAAGAUAAUGACGGUAUUAUAUGAAUAAGCACCGGCUAACUCCGUGCCAGCAGCCGCCGUAA
rnacentral:rRNA from 1 species